AUUGAACGCUGGCGGCAGGCUUAACACAUGCAAGUCGAGCGAGCGGCGGACGGGUGAGUAAUGUCUGGGAAACUGCCUGAUGGAGGGGGAUAAAUACUGGAAACGGACGCUAAUACCGCAUACAAUCAGAUGAGCCCAGAUGGGAAUAGCUAGUAGGUGGGGUAAUGGCUAACCUGGGCGACGAUCCCUCGCUGGUCUGAGAGGAUGACGACCCACACGGGAACGGAGACACGCUCCGACUUCCUACGGGAGGCAGCAGUGGGGAAUAUUGGACAAUGGGCGCAAGCCUGAUGCAGCCCUGCGCCUUGUGUGAGGAGGGCCUUCGGGUUGUAAAGCACUUUCAUCGAGGAGGCGGUACUCGCAUAAGAAGCACCGGCUAACUCCGUGCCAGCAGCCGCGGUAAUAC
rnacentral:rRNA from 1 species